GCCACAUUACGUUGAAACACCGGUUUCCGUACGAUCACCGAAGUUAAGCAAUGUCGAGGCUGGUCAGUACCUAGAUGGGUGAUCGCUUGGGAAUACGAGGUGCUGUAA